rnacentral:rRNA from 1 species
CAGCAGUAGCCGCGGUAAUACGAAGGGGGCUAGCGUUGCUCGGAAUUAUUGGGCGUAAAGGGUGUGUAGGCGGCUUGACAAGUCUUGUGUGAAAUCUAUGGGCUCAACCCAUAGUCUGCACGGGAAACUGUCGGGCUUGAGAAUGGGAGAGGUGAGUGGAAUUUCCGGUGUAGCGGUGAAAUGCGUAGAUAUCGGAAGGAACACCUGUGGCGAAAGCGGCUCACUGGACCAUUUCUGACGCUGAUGCACGAAAGCUAGGGGAGCAAACAGGAUUAGAUACCCCAGUAGUCCCUGUCUCUUAUAC